UCCGUCGUGGCGCAGUGCUAGCCCGCCGGACCGCAAGUCUGGAGGCCCGAGUUCGAUUCUCGGCGAUGGAA